UUUGAUUGCUGUCUCCAGGCAUGUUAGAGCCCUACUCCCUAGGAUCCUGCAUACUACGUUGGUUAUUGAUUUCUUACAUACUUCUGAUGCCUGAAAGUUUCUUUUUUGCUCAAAUAUGAAUUUAAUUUUUAAAAAUUAUGUAUUUUAUCCAACAUGUCUAUGUGACCGCAGUGGAAGGAAAGGGAUUCCCCACCCGCUCUGACACUUGACCAGAUGUUUUCUCCAACAUCUCAAGCUUAAAAAAAAAAUUUCUCCUAAAGCAUGCUUUGUGUUCUUUUAUAAGUCAUUGUGGGUAUAUUAUUCGAAAAUUUAUCUACUUUGCUUAACUCUGUUUUUAAAUUUAGACCACUUCCUGGAACUGUAUUUGAAAUAAACAGAGCAGUGCUUUUCGGUACUUAUACUGAUGGUGUCAACCACUUUACAGGCUGAAACCCUCGCUAAGAGUAGACUACAAGAACUCACAGACUCUUCCCAGGCUGCACGGCCCAAGGACAGAGCAAGGCUGACGUUUCCAUUUCCGGGCAGGCCCUUUGGCACUGAGGAGAGCUUGCUGGUCCUCCGGCUCCCUCCAAGUGAAUCACCUUCCUCUGGGCUCCUGGCGACAUACACCUUCCUGCCCUGGGAAGGAGGAGGCAUUCGCAGUGCUGGCCUGCGCUUGCUGGGAUGGCUGUGGGAUGCGUUGGCAAAUCGCUGAACAGGCCUCGCACCCAGGGGAUGGUGGAAGGAGAAACAACAGGAAAUGCUCACUUUCAUUUCAAACUUUGCUCUUUCUUGCAAACUGGAACAAAACAAUGAGCCAAUUCCAAACUGGCAAUGAGUGCCAGCAAGAAAGCCCUGAGGGAGGCCGAAGAGCAGCCACCAUGGCAGAGGAGCUCCCCGGGGACUCCUCUGUCUGCUGCUGCUCACACUGAGCUCCCAGUUCAAACUGCUUCUGGGAGCUGAAGAAAGCACACAGACUCCUUUAAGACCUCUCCAGACUGCAGGACCUUCUCAGGUUACAUCAUCCCCAGUCUUCUCCAGUUUCCUUCCUCAUUACUCACAGAAGCCUGUUUUCCACUCUGGAUUCU
rnacentral:lncRNA from 1 species